UACGUAGGGUGCGAGCGUUGUCCGGAAUUAUUGGGCGUAAAGAGCUCGUAGGCGGUUUGUUGCGUCUAUCGUGAAAACCUGCAGCUUAACUGUGGGCUUGCGGUGGAUACGGGCAGACUUGAGUUCGGUAGGGGAGACUGGAAUUCCUGGUGUAGCGGUGAAAUGCGCAGAUAUCAGGAGGAACACCAAUGGCGAAGGCAGCUCACUGGGACGGUAUUGACGCUGAGACGCGAAAGCGUGGGGAGCAAACAGG
rnacentral:rRNA from 1 species